rnacentral:snRNA from 14 species
AUUCUUACCUGGCGGAGGAAAUAUAAUCACCAGGCCUCUUGUGGGCUAGCAAGUGGUUUUCCGAGGCCUGUCCCUUGUUGCACUCCAGGCACCCCCAGACCCCUGUGAGUUUCCCUAAAUGUAGGAGACUUGACUGCAGAAUCUUGUGGUAAAGGGGGACUGCUUUUUUGCUUUCCUCCU